rnacentral:rRNA from 3 species
UAACGACUCUCGGCAACGGAUAUCUCGGCUCUCGCAUCGAUGAAGAACGUAGCGAAAUGCGAUACGUGGUGUGAAUUGCAGGAUCCCGUGAACCAUCGAGUUUUUGAACGCAAGUUGCGCCCGAAGCCGUUAGGCCGAGGGCACGUCUGCCUGGGCGUCACGC